rnacentral:misc_RNA from 1 species
GGAGGUAAAAGUCGUAACAAGGUCUCCGUAGGUGAACCUGCGGAGGGAUCAUUACAGAGUUCAUGCCCUAACGGGUAGAUCUCCCACCCUAUGUUAUCAUCACUUUGUUGCUUUGGCGGGCCGUCAGGCCUCGGCUUGGCUACCGGCUCUCGCUGGUAAGCGCCCGCCAGAGAACCCCAAACCCUGAAUAUCAGUGUCGUCUGAGUACUAUAUAAUAGUUAAAACCUUCAACAACGGAUCUCUUGGUUCUG